GAUGAACGCUGGCGGCGUGCCUAAUACAUGCAAGUCGAGCGAACAGACGAGGAGCUUGCUCCUCUGACGUUAGCGGCGGACGGGUGAGUAACACGUGGAUAACCUACCUAUAAGACUGGGAUAACUUCGGGAAACCGGAGCUAAUACCGGAUAAUAUAUUGAACCGCAUGGUUCAAUAGUGAAAGACGGUUUUGCUGUCACUUAUAGAUGGAUCCGCGCCGCAUUAGCUAGUUGGUAAGGUAACGGCUUACCAAGGCAACGAUGCGUAGCCGACCUGAGAGGGUGAUCGGCCACACUGGAACUGAGACACGGUCCAGACUCCUACGGGAGGCAGCAGUAGGGAAUCUUCCGCAAUGGGCGAAAGCCUGACGGAGCAACGCCGCGUGAGUGAUGAAGGUCUUCGGAUCGUAAAACUCUGUUAUUAGGGAAGAACAAAUGUGUAAGUAACUAUGCACGUCUUGACGGUACCUAAGCAGAGAGCCACGGCUAACUACG
rnacentral:rRNA from 1 species